UACGUAGGGUGCAAGCGUUGUCCGGAAUUAUUGGGCGUAAAGAGCUCGUAGGCGGUUUGUCGCGUCGAAUGUGAAAACCCGGGGCUCAACCCCGGGCCUGCAGUCGAUACGGGCAGACUAGAGUGCGGUAGGGGAGACCGGAAUUCCUGGUGUAGCGGUGAAAUGCGCAGAUAUCAGGAGGAACACCGGUGGCGAAGGCGGGUCUCUGGGCCGUAACUGACGCUGAGGAGCGAAAGCGUGGGGAGCGAACAGG
rnacentral:rRNA from 1 species